UACGUAGGGGGCAAGCGUUGUCCGGAUUUAUUGGGCGUAAAGAGCGUGUAGGCGGCCAGGUAGGUCUGCUGUGAAAACUCGAGGCUUAACCUCGAGAUGUCGGCGGAAACCAUCUGGCUAGAGUCCGGAAGAGGAGAAUGGAAUUCCCGGUGUAGCGGUGAAAUGCGCAGAUAUCGGGAAGAACACCCGUGGCGAAGGCGGUUCUCUGGGCAGUAACUGACGCUGAGGAGCGAAAGCGUGGGGAGCGAACAGG
rnacentral:rRNA from 1 species